rnacentral:rRNA from 1 species
UACGUAGGGGGCUAGCGUUGUCCGGAUUUAUUGGGCGUAAAGAGCGUGUAGGCGGCCUGGUAGGUCUGCUGUGAAAAACUCGAGGCUCAACCUCGAGAUGUCGGCGGAAACCAUCUGGCUAGAGUCCGGAAGAGGAGAGUGGAAUUCCUGGUGUAGCGGUGAAAUGCGCAGAUAUCAGGAAGAACACCUAUGGCGAAGGCAGCUCUCUGGGACGGUACUGACGCUGAGACGCGAAAAGCGUGGGGAGCGAACAGG